AACGAACGCUGGCGGCAGGCUUAACACAUGCAAGUCGAGCGAGACCUUCGGGUCUAGCUGCGUAGGUGUGAGUAACGCGGGGGAACGUGCCCUUCUCUACGGAAUAGCCCCGGGUAACUGGGGGUAAUACCGUAGACGCUCUUUUGGGGAAAGAAUUAUCGGAGAAGGAUCGGCCUGUGUUGGAUUAGGUAGUUGGUGGGGUAAUGUCCCACCAAGUGGACGAUCCAUAGCUGGAUGGAGAGGAUGAUCAGCCACACUGGGCCUGAGAGACGGCCCAGUCUCCUACGGGAGGCAGCAGUGGGGAAUCUUAGACAACGAGGGCAACCCUAAUCAAGCCAUGCCGCGUGAUUGAUGAAGGCCUUAGGGUUGUAAAGCUCUUUCAGCGGGGAAGAUAAUGACGGUACCAGAAGAAGAAGCCCCGGCUAACUCCGUG
rnacentral:rRNA from 1 species